GAUGAAGAACGUAGCGAAAUGCGAUAACUAAUGUGAAUUGCAGAAUUCCGUGAAUCAUCGAGUCUUUGAACGCACAUUGCGCCCCCUGGUAUUCCGGGGGGCAUGCCUGUCCGAGCGUCAUUGCUGCCCAUCAAGCACGGCUUGUGUGUUGGGUCCCGUCCCCCUCUCCCGGGGGACGGACCCGAAAGGCAGCGGCGGCACCGCGUCCGGUCCUCGAGCGUAUGGGGCUUUGUCACCCGCUCUUGUAGGCCCGGCCGGCGCUUGCCGACACCCAACCAUUUUUUUCAGGUUGACCUCGGAUCAGGUAGGGAUACCCGCUGAACUUAAGCAUAUCAAUAGCGGAGGA
rnacentral:misc_RNA from 1 species